rnacentral:rRNA from 1 species
UACGUAGGGUGCAAGCGUUAAUCGGAAUUACUGGGCGUAAAGCGUGCGCAGGCGGUUUUGUAAGUCAGAUGUGAAAUCCCCGGGCUUAACCUGGGGACUGCGUUUGAAACUACAAGGCUAGAGUGUGACAGAGGGGGGUGGAAUUCCACGUGUAGCAGUGAAAUGCGUAGAGAUGUGGAGGAACACCGAUGGCGAAGGCAGCCCCCUGGGUUAACACUGACGCUCAGGCACGAAAGCGUGGGGAGCAAACAGG